AUUUCCUUAUGAAUGACUUCAGGAAGCCAGCAUUUUUAAUAAAUAGGAAGUAAAUUAUAUUUAAUGACUAAAUUCUCACCUAAAGUUGAUACUAAUAUUACAAUAACUCUCUUGUGCCCUAUUUUGGUGUUUUAAACUUCUUUGCUGUACAUUUAAGAAAAUCAGAAUUUCAGUAGACUCCUCGUGCAGUCUGAGGAGGCAGUUUCCUAUCUGGUUUGACUUAAGGGGCUGCAGAAGACAUUCUUAUCCCACAUAUUUCUUCUGCUGAUCAGUCAGCAACUGAAAUUCCAACUAAUGGAUUCCAUUCUUCCAGUUAAGACAUCAUCUCCAGAAAACUGUGCUAGUUGGCAUCCAGCAGUGCCCAAGUAUUAUUUAACCCACUAGAACCUGUGACUGCAUCAGCUUUAUAUCCUGGACCUCAGCCUGGAACAAAGGAGAGCUACACUUGGAUACUAAACACAAGUGGUCUGGAUAGAUUAUGCUGGGAAAAGAAGCCUGGAGCAGGCAGUACAGUGGGAGAACAAGACAGAAGUGCUUGCCUUGGUGAUCCAAAAAAGGCAGGAUCCGGCCGGGGGCAAGUUCAACCAAUCUACAAAGGCCAAAAAUAUUUUCACAGGCCCCCAAAAGAUGAACUCCAAUCUGCUGCCCCUAAACGCAUUCUCCACUGUCUGGAAGAUGUGCAAAGGCAACGGCACAGCGUUCUCCAUCUCAAAUCCUUCAAAGUGCUGUCAGAAUAAAAGAAUCCCCACCAAAAGCCCCAGGGAAAUCUAUCUGUCUGUAUGGUAUGGUAAUGACUGAGGUUAUUCCAGAUAGGAUUCUGGGAGAAACUCAGCUAUUGAAAUCUAAUGAAUGGAACUGAGAAUUUCUUGUUAUAAUACUGUUUGUUUGAUUGAAUAUAUCCUUGCAUAUAGGAAGACAUAAAAAUAAAUAAUAAAAGCAA
ensembl:lncRNA LINC01013 long intergenic non-protein coding RNA 1013